rnacentral:lncRNA from 1 species
GCACUUCCCAUGCGCCAUCUGCAUUUUGACAGUUCAGUGGACCACCAGAGUCCCCCUGAGAAGAAGAGGAAACGUGGUUAAUGGCGUGAGUAGUUCUUCCUUGUGUUUUAAGCUUUCCUUCCCAUCAGGCCGGGUUGUGUUAAGCCAAGCCCUGAGAGUGGUGUUCUCUGGACUCACGUUACAACUGGAGGUGAUUCCAUCUCCACCAGCGCACACCAUGUUGGUUUUCACCGUGCUUCCCCACCAGUUGGUCUUGGAACAAGUUGCAUAAUCUACUACCAGCAACAGGCCUUGCUGCAGUUCAUCUGGGAGAGCUCCAUUUGCUGGGAAGUAACGGAAAUGAAGGAGUCAUGAUACCAGCUGGCAAUGAAGGAAGAGCAAAAGUGCACUGCUAAGCUUCUCCCAGGAUCUGCAUGCUAUUCCUCCAGGUUCCCUUCACCAAAAACAGAUGCAUAUGUGAGGACCAAUUACAGGCACCUGGAAAAUGAGAUGGUUUCUUUGCUAAUGCGCUCAGCCCACCAGCAUGCACAGGAGUCCUUCAAAUUCCCUACAAAGGAGGAAAGGUAUGGACUGGAGCGAACACUUUGAAGUCUU